ensembl:snoRNA
UGGUGAUGAGAUACUUACUGUGUUGAAUUAAGGUGAUUUUUCUUAUAUGCUAUUCUGAGCUGGAA